rnacentral:rRNA from 1 species
CAAGUCGAGCGGGCCCUUCGGGGUCAGCGGCGGACGGGUGAGUAACGCGUGGGAACGUGCCUUCUGGUUCGGAAUAACCCUGGGAAACUAGGGCUAAUACCGGAUACGCCCUUUUGGGGAAAGGUUUACUGCCGGAAGAUCGGCCCGCGUCUGAUUAGCUAGUUGGUGGGGUAACGGCCUACCAAGGCGACGAUCAGUAGCUGGUCUGAGAGGAUGAUCAGCCACACUGGGACUGAGACACGGCCCAG